rnacentral:rRNA from 1 species
GAUGAACGCUGGCGGCGUGCCUAAUACAUGCAAGUCGAGCGAACGGACGAGAAGCUUGCUUCUCUGAUGUUAGCGGCGGACGGGUGAGUAACACGUGGAUAACCUACCUAUAAGACUGGGAUAACUUCGGGAAACCGGAGCUAAUACCGGAUAAUAUUUUGAACCGCAUGGUUCAAAAGUGAAAGACGGUCUUGCUGUCACUUAUAGAUGGAUCCGCGCUGCAUUAGCUAGUUGGUAAGGUAACGGCUUACCAAGGCAACGAUGCAUAGCCGACCUGAGAGGGUGAUCGGCCACACUGGAACGUAGAAGAGGUCCAGACUCCUACGGGAGGCAGCAGGAGGGAAUCUUCCGCAAUGGGCGAAAGCCUGACGGAGCAACGCCGCGUGAGUGAUGAAGGUCUUCGGAUCGUAAAACUCUGUUAUUAGGGAAGAACAUAUGUGUAAGUAACUGUGCACAUCUUGACGGUACCUAAUCAGAAAGCCACGGCUAACUACGUG